UGUGCAUCCUAGCUUAAUCUCUACUGAACUGAUUGGAAAUUCUUUCAGCUUUUGGUCGUUAAAAAAGAAAAAGGUUGUAUAUAGCUGGAAAUGGGCAAAUAAUUACAAAGCAUUGUGCAGAACCCAUUUUAAAGCGGUCAACAAAGAGAUACUCUUUUUGCUACAGAUUCUGAAGAAGCCGCAAAAAUCAAGGAGAACAGGUCACUAUUAUGAGUAUUUUGCAGUAUUGUGUGACAGUUUUUAUGCAAAUAUUACUAUGUAUGACAAAGCUUAUCAAAACUGUAUACAUAUAUUUAAUGUAAAACGGAUUUACAGGAUGUUUGGUGGUUUAAGAUUUUGCAAUUGAUAUUUAGCUGUUCUUAGCUUCGUAUAUAUGGACGUAGAAAUGAGGUUAAGUUUUCUAAGGUUACAUGUAAGGGGUUGAUCUCUGGAAGCUAAAGGAAUUCAACGAUCCCUUUACAAACGGAAAGCUAUAUUCAUCUUAUGUUUUAGUACAAAAGAUAACACUAAUCACCUUCAAUGUUUUGACGAGUUCAAUCACACGUCCUAUUUUUUGCUGAACAUUUGAUUGAUCCUCAAUUUUGAUUAGGUCUCAAAUAAUUAUCCGAAUUGUUUGUAUGACCUGGUAAUGGUAAAGCAUUUCGUAUAUAAAGAGUGCAUUUAGUACUGAAGUCAGUUAGUGUUCUUUGAAAACUGAUACCAUGAAAUUCAUCGCUCUUUUCGCUAUGGUCCUCUGCGCCAUCUUGUCACUGGUGAGCGUUGCCAGCGCUGAGCCAGCUCGAAGGGGGCCACGAAGCCCUGCUGCUGUCGAGGACUCGGAGUCGGCACCUGGAUACUACCAGCGUUACAACAACUAUCAUUAUGGCCGUCGAUAUUAAAGUGAGGAAUCUGAUGAUUCACUUUUUUUUGUUUUAUCUUCAAUCGGGUGUUGUUUUGGUAAUAAACCUUUUAUUUUGAUGAUUUA